rnacentral:rRNA from 1 species
UACAGAGACCUCGAGCGUUAUCCGGAUUGAUUGGGCGUAAAGCGUGCGCAGGCGGCUUCUUAAGCCGACGGUUAAACUUAGAUGCUUAACAUCUAAACUGCCGCCGGAACUGGGAAGCUAGAGUUUGGAAGGGGUGAGCGGAAUUGCCGGUGUAACGGUAAAAUGUGUUAAUAUCGGCAAGAACACCAGAGGCGAAAGCGGCUCACUAGUACAUAACUGACGCUGUGGCACGAAAGCGUGGGGAG